rnacentral:lncRNA from 1 species
CAAACGCAUAUCAUCACAUCGAAACGAUUAUCGUCGGAUAAUCGUUCCAAUCCGGAUUCCCGAAAGUGUCAAUUUCGACACUAGAACCCACCAUUGCUCACUCGUCAUUUUUGAACCCUCGAAACGACGCCGGUGACCAGCCAACAAGGCUCAGCGACAACAUAAUUUAUUGUGAGGCACCGUCGGAAGAAUUUCGAACCGAAAUCGCGUUUCGUCGGCGGAUUUCGCCGAAAAACGCACUGAAAAUCAACAUCCGAUUUCCG